rnacentral:rRNA from 1 species
AAUCAACGCUGGCGGCGUGCCUCAGACAUGCAAGUCGAACGAUUAAACUUUCCUUCGGGAAAGAUAUAAAGUGGCGCACGGGUGAGUAACACGUAGGUAAUGUACCUUUGGGUGGGGAAUAACCAUCGGAAACGAUGGCUAAUACCGCAUAAUGCAGCGGCAUCGCAAGAUGACAGUUGUUAAAGAUUUAUCGCCUAAAGAGCAGCCUGCGGCAGAUUAGGAGUUGGUAAGGUAAUGGCUUACCAAGCCUGCGAUCUGUAACCGACCUGAGAGGGUGGUCGGUCACACUGACACUGAAUAACGGGUCAGACUCCUACGGGAGGCAGCAGUCGGGAAUUUUGGGCAAUGGGCGAAAGCCUGACCCAGCAACGCCGCGUGAAGGACGAAGUC